AAGUCGAGCGAGACCUUCGGGUCUAGCGGCGGACGGGUGAGUAACGCGUGGGAAUAUGCCCUUUGGUACGGAAUAGCCUCGGGAAACUGAGAGUAAUACCGUAUGUGCCCUUCGGGGGAAAGAUUUAUCGCCAAAGGAUUAGCCCGCGUUGGAUUAGGUAGUUGGUGGGGUAAUGGCCUACCAAGCCUACGAUCCAUAGCUGGUUUGAGAGGAUGAUCAGCCACACUGGGACUGAGACACGGCCCAG
rnacentral:rRNA from 1 species